CACGUACUACAAUGCUCAGUACAAUACGAGCCGAAUCCGCGAGGUGGAGGAAAUCUCGAAAACUGAGCCCAAUUCGGAUCNCAGUCUGCAACUCGCCUGCGUGAANCUGGAAUCCGCUAGUAAUGCCGUAUCAGCUACGACGGCGUGAAUACGUUCCCGGGCCUUGUACACACCGCCCGUCACAUCAUGGGAGUCACUUGCACCCGAAGUGCACAUUCGUGUGCCCUACGGUAUGAGUGGUAACUGGGAUGAAGUCGUAACAAGUUAACC
rnacentral:rRNA from 1 species